rnacentral:rRNA from 1 species
ACGGAUAAAAGGUACUCCGGGGAUAACAGGCUGAUACCGCCCAAGAGUUCAUAUCGACGGCGGUGUUUGGCACCUCGAUGUCGGCUCAUCACAUCCUGGGGCUGAAGUUGGUCCCAAGGGUAUGGCUGUUCGCCAUUUAAAGUGGUACGCGAGCUGGGUUUAGAACGUCGUGAGACAGUUCGGUCCCUAUCUGCCGUGGGCGUUUGAGAAUUGAGAGGAGCUGCUCCUAGUACGAGAGGACCGGAGUGGACGAACCACUGGUGUUCGGGUUGUCAUGCCAAUGGCAUUGCCCGGUAGCUAAGUUCGGAACUGAUAACCGCUGAAAGCAUCUAAGCGGGAAGCAGGCCUCGAGAUGAGUUCUCACUGGAGCUUUAAGCUCCCUGAAGGGCCGUUGGAGACUACAACGUUGAUAGGCAAGGUGUGUAAGUGCUGUGAGGCAUUGAGCUAACUUGUACUAAUUACCCGUGAGGCUUAACCAUACAA